CAGCCGUAAACUAUGCUCGCUAGGUGUCAGGGACGGUGCGACCGUUUCUGGUGCCGCAGGGAAGCCGUGAAGCGAGCCACCUGGGAAGUACGGUCGCAAGGCUGAAACUUAAAGGAAUUGGCGGGGGAGCACUACAACGGGUGGAGCCUGCGGUUUAAUUGGACUCAACGCCGGAAAACUCACCGGGGGCGACAGCAAUAUGUAGGCCAGGCUGAAGACUUUGCCGGAUUAGCUGAGAGGAGGUGCAUGGCGUAGUCGUGU
rnacentral:rRNA from 1 species